rnacentral:tRNA from 2 species
GGGGGCGUAGUUCAACGGCAGAAUAUGGCUCUCCAAAAGCCUAGAUGAGGGUUCAAUUCCUUCCGCCCCUGCAA